CCAACCGCCAAACGAACCCUAGCCAAUCCGACCCCAACCGCCAAACGAACCCUAGCCCCCUUUCUUCGUCCCCUCAAUCCCUAUAGCCGCUGCACCCCUCCCUCUCCCUUCUGUGCGUGCGCUCGACCAAGGACGUCGUCGUCGCCCUCGGCUGCUCCUCCACCACCCCGCCUCUUUCUCCUCGCCUUCCCAUCGGUUGCGCUCAGGUCGUCACCGUCGACGAAUAGGAUAGUGCGGGCCGCUUCCUCCUUUUCCUCCGGCCGGAUCUAUGGCGUGCGACCGCGGAGGCGAGCCUCUCCGGUGGCAGAGGCAAAGGGCGACCACAUGGAUCGAUCCCUGCAGGAGAUAGAAGAUGGGAGAGAGGGAAAGAAGGAAGGAGAGGAGGAAGACCCAGUGGCGGGCGGGAGAGGGUCACCAGCCGGCGCCGGCGAGGUCAAGUGCGACCUGAUGGUUGGUGGCGGCUCGAUCCACUCCUGGAUCUUUAUUGUUCCACUUCCCCACUACCUAACACCGAGCAAGAGGGCUGCCCGAGGAAGAGGGUGAGGACGCAGGGAUUGAAGAGGGUGUUCCCGCAUUCAUCGUCUGGCCAAGUGCAAGGACGAGGACGAGGACGCGGGGUGGAGCAUGUCAUCCCUCUGGUUAUCGCCUUCCUUUCUGCUGCUGGGCUGAGAUGAGGGUUUUCUCCAGCGAUUGUGGUGGCCUGAGUCAGAGAUCGACAGCCAGAUGCUUGUGGCUACCACACAAAACGUGCUCUCUUACUGACCUCGAGGUCCGAGCCGCAAUUCCUCUUGUUUUUGCUCCAAGGUAUAGAAGAAGGACCUUUGCUUAAUGGUUGAUUUUCUUCUGCUCACGGCAGCUUGCUCGAGGCAAACAUGCAAGCCUGACGUGCACUGAUGGCGCUGCCGGCAGUAUCAAGGAUGGAAACAGCAAGACACUCUUUUAGGUCAGAGAAACUGGCGGUGCCAAUGAUAACGCCUGAACCUUCGUGACUGCAGCAGCCACCAUCAUGUUGUAGCUCAGCCAGACCACGACCAUCGAUAGGUGACCAUCUUCAUUGAGGUAUAGAAAACAAUCCAUGUAUUGCCAUGCUUAUGUUCUCUAAAGUUUUACAUCCUUCAAUCCCACUCAUUGACAAGACUUAGACAAACACUUUUACUGGUGAUGGUGGGGCUUUUUUUAACUGAGAUGUGCAAGAUGCAUCUUAUCCCCCGAGAAAUAUUGCCUUUAAUUUCUUGAUUUUUUUCCUGGCAUGCUAAUUUAGAGCCAGAUAUGCAUGAUUCAUAAUACACAUUACAGUCAAUUAUCCAUUGGAAUCUUUUGUCCAUAGAGGUGAUUUUGUUUGGACCAUUAGUCUAGGUAGUGACAUUUUGAUCGAUAAGGCACAAGUUUAUUUUCUUUUUGACUCAGGGCUACACUAAAGUAAGAAUCACCGUUAGUGAAAAGAAGGCAUACAAAUCAUGAAGCUUUUGCCUUGGUUGAGUUCCUCAUUUAAUUGUCACUUAUUUAUUUGAAGGAAGUUAUUCAAUUCUCAUCGGCUUUCCUUAAUGCUUUCCAUUUCUAAAUAAGAAAUUUAAUACUCGAUAUUUUUAAUAUGUGAGGAGGCGGGGGGGGGGGGGGGGAAGAAAAGGGGCUGUCAGGUCGGACUUUUGGUGCGUCUCUGACCAGAGAUAGCUGGAUCCAUCUGAUGCUCUUCCAAACAGUGCAGUGCAGAUUUGCUGACUGGUUUAACAAUGCAUGUCGGUUGGUCGGUGUACUAAUUUUGAUGCUUCUUGAUCGGUGUUUCGGAAGCCAUGGAUAUUUGCACAAGCUUCCUUCAUCUUUACUAUUUUCUAUCUUUAGUGUUUCUUUGAUAUUCCUUUGUAACUGUCUGAUGUUCUGCCUUGGGUGUCCUCUGUCUUGGUUUACAUCUCCAUAUGGCUAGCUAUGUAUACACACGUAGGUUUUGUUUGGACUGUACUCAAAUCACAGAGAUGUUUCCAUAUUCAUGCAUUCCUCUCUUUAACUCAUGAUUGUUAGAUAGUUGAAUAUCAUUGGUUUGCGUCGGCAUUCUAUUUUUGCAAUUUGAAAUAGGUAUUGGUCCAUUGAUAUUAAAUUUCACAAUAGAUAGUGGAAUCUUCAGGUAAAAGUAGUGGCAGAUAUGUUGGACACUUCUUUUUCGAUGCAGAAAUGAUGUUAUUGACUUGAGUCCUCAACACAUAUUUUUCAGUAACGGAGAGGAUUAUUCACCUUUGCCGCGGUAGGCGUUAAGACCUGACAGAGCCAGGCCAAUGGGCACUAUUAGUGUUAAACACCCGACCCUGAUGAGCCCUUACAGCCCGUGCUACUGGCCAGACAUCUUCUUUGGGUCCGGAACGAAACCAGUAGGGGCACCUUGAGCGAGUACUCGAGGCGUGCAGUCAAGUCGUACAGGAAAUGCGACCAGACCAGCUUUCCUGUUUACAAUUGUUUGGAUCGUUCAACAGCAAAGUAGAACCCAUAUGAUUGACCCUGAUGCAUGUCAUGCGUUAUCUGCAGUAUAUCUCAAUUUUGAAUGUGAUAUGUCGUGUAUGUAUAUACUAAAAUUGAGCUUUUUAUCAAUACCGGGCUGCAAAAUUAUUAUG